GGUAAUACGAGGGGGGCAAGCGUUAUYCGGAAUUAUUGGGCGUAAAGGGCGCGUAGGYGGAUUGGUAAGUCAGAUGUGAAAUCCCCCGGCUYAACCGGGGAABUGCMUUUGAUACUGCCAUUCUUGAGUVCGGUAGAGGAAAGMGGAAUUCCUGGUGUAGCGGUGAAAUGCGUAGAUAUCAGGAGGAACACCRRUGGCGAAGGCGGCUUUCUGGGCCRAUACUGACGCUGAGGCGCGAAAGCGUGGGKAGCAAACAGGAUUAGAUACCCUGGUAGUCCACGCCGUAAACGAUGUGUACUAGGUGUUGGGGGUAUUGACCCCUUCAGUGCCGHAGCUAACGCGUUAAGUA
rnacentral:rRNA from 1 species